rnacentral:rRNA from 1 species
CUCCUUUGACGUUAGCGGCGGACGGGUUAGUAACACGUGGGUAACCUACCUAUAAGACUGGGAUAACUUCGGGAAACCGGAGCUAAUACCGGAUAAUAUUUCGAACCGCAUGGUUCGAUAGUGAAAGAUGGUUUUGCUAUCACUUAUAGAUGGACCCGCGCCGUAUUAGCUAGUUGGUAAGGUAACGGCUUACCAAGGCGACGAUACGUAGCCGACCUGAGAGGGUGAUCGGCCACACUGGAACUUAGACACGGUCCAGACUCCUACGGGAGGCAGCAGGC